rnacentral:rRNA from 1 species
CCGACGGUGAGGGACGAAAGCUGGGGCACGAACCGGAUUAGAUACCCGGGUAGUCCAGCCGUAAACGAUGCUCGCUGGGUGUCUGGGAUGGUGCGACCGUUUCAGGUGCCGCAGGGAAGCCGUGAAGCGAGCCACCUGGGAAGUACGGCCGCAAGGCUGAAACUUAAAGGAAUUGGCGGGGGAGCACUACAACGGGUGGAGCCUGCGGUUUAACUGGACUCAACGCCGGAAAACUCACCUGGGGCGA